GGACAAGCACGGCGCGUCGCUGCCGGCCAACUUCAAGAAGAUGCUCUCCAUCCAGCUCCGCGGAUUCGCCGCCAAGGGCAAGCUCGUGAAGGUCAAGGCCUCGUACAAGCUCUCCGACGCCGCCAAGAAGGCCGCCCCCAAGCCGAAGGCCAAGCUCGCCGCCGCCAAGACCGCUGCGCCCAAGCCGACCAAGAAGGACGCCGCCAAGCCCAAGAAGACUGCCGCCGCAGCCAAGCCCAAGAAGGCCGCCGCGGGGACCAAGCGCAAGGCG
rnacentral:lncRNA from 1 species